UACGGAGGAUGCAAGCGUUAUCCGGAAUGAUUGGGCGCAAAGCGUCCGCAGGUGGCUGUGUAAGUCUGCUGUCAAAGAGCAAAGCUCAACUUUGUAAAGGCAGUGGAAACUACACGGCUAGAGUGCGUUCGGGGCAGAGGGAAUUCCUGGUGUGGCGGUGAAAUGCGUAGAGAUCAGGAAGAACACCGGUGGCGAAGGCGCUCUGCUAGGCCGCAACUGACACUGAGGGACGAAGGCUAGGGGAGCGAAUGGG
rnacentral:rRNA from 1 species